GGAAAUAAUGACUUUUUUCAUAAUUUCUAUUCAGUAACUGAUAUAAUAUAUUUAGUUAGGACAUCAAACUGCAGCCUAAAUUUUUGUAAUUAAUCUAGUUUGUGGCGACAGUGAUUUCUGAGACUAAAUAUAUAAAGGCAACAGCAAAAUACCGCUGUUCAAAAGUCGAAAAUCUACUGGAUUAAAACAAAACCGGCUUACAAACUAAAACCGACGGAAACACAUCAACUAUAAAAGUGAAACGAAGGAACAAUAUUUGAUAGCAACUGCAAUAUUCCUUACUUGUUACAGGACAUUUUACGAAAAAACAUUGGUGGGAUGAACCUGGUUUAUGGCUAACCAAACCUGUAGCUAUAUGGAAGCGUUACAAAUAUCGCUGAAGUAACAACAACACGUGACAGAAAUACAGCACAAACACAGUUAAAGCACUCAUCAUAGAAAAACUCUCAAAUAGAUCAUACAGUCACAGAACUCUAUAUAUAUAUAUGUAUAAGUAAGUCCGAACCAGUGACAACUUUACAGAAGAUUUAUCCAUCGAUUCACCAGCAGUGAUGAUGAUACAAGGCUGAUAUAUAUAGCAAAAGUAAAUUAAUACGGUGUACAGAAGAAAUAUAUUAACAUUCAAAAUUCGCAGCCUACAUUUCACAUCAACUAAUAACAGUUCGUUAAGAUAUUGUCAUUAGCGCUUCCAUGCCUUCUGGCAAUCUUCAGGGGACGAUUUAACAAUGUCCUUGACGAGACAUCUUUUUAUUGUAGGCAAUCUUUUGUUGAUGUCUGCGAUUUGUGGUGACAAUUAGAACCAAAUAUAUGUGCUUACGGAUUCGCAAUAUCGUAUAAUUUGAUAUCUUGUAACAUGUACUUUUAUUAUUAUAAAACAAGUCAUAUCAUAAUAUAUAUGUCGUAAAAGACAAUAACUCAGGAACAAAGUACUUGGAAAAUCAUGAAAGUACUAUUGAAAUAUCUAUUUGACAAUAUAUGAUACUUUUUAUCCCAAAUCAAGAACUAAAUUAAAAUAGAAUAAUGACUAUACUACUGAUUAGUGUCUUGUUACCUAGUUCACGUGCUCGGGGGAGGGGGAUACAAUUCUUUUUCAUGCCCCACCUACGAUAGAAGAGGAGC
rnacentral:lncRNA from 1 species